GUCUCUAGUUCUGUCUCUAAUCUGAAUCUUUUCUGUCUUUGCUUGUUUUUUCGAUUUCUUUCUCUCCAGUUGUCUUUUUGUUCAUUUUUCUUUCUGAAUAUCUAUCUCUCUUACCUCCCCUUGCUGUUGUUUCCUCCCCUUUGGUUAGAAGAAGUGUCAUUGUGUAUAGAUCAACCUGCAUAACGGGGACUAUAUUUACUUAACAGCUUUUGAUUUUGACAAUUAAUGAUUAAAUGUACAGUUCUGGAAUGCAAUGUAAUUUUUUUUUUUUUUUUAUGAGCCCUUGACAUGGAUAUAUACUGGCCUGUGCUGACCUUACAGUGGAAUUUGGUGACGUGCCUGCGUUGAUCCCAUCAAGCAGAGAAAAAUUCCACCAUGGACCAGACAGUUUCCACUAACCUGCUGCCUGCUCCCUCCGUCAACUACCAGGAGCAACCACCCUUUGACACCGUGUCCUGAGGGGUUGCAUUUCUCAAGAGUGGCAGCAUAUUCCACAUAAAGCCUGCAGUGCCGACUUUCUGCAAGCAGGUGGCGCACAUUUUUUUAUCUAUACCUGGAAUACAAAGUUUGCAUGUCAUUUUCAGUUAAUCUAUACAUCCAAUGCUGUGCUUCCUUGUGUUAUUUAUUUACUGUAUACCUGCAAAUACAUGGUGAAGGAAAAGAGA